GCACUGCUGAGGAGUCCCACAACAGGACGAAACGACCUUCCAGUAC
rfam:Schistosoma mattheei strain Denwood, Zambia genome assembly, scaffold: SMTD_scaffold0007264